rnacentral:rRNA from 1 species
UGCCAGACUCCUACGGGAGGCAGCAGUGGGGAAUAUUGCACAAUGGGGGAAACCCUGAUGCAGCGACGCCGCGUGAAGGAAGAAGUAUCUCGGUAUGUAAACUUCUAUCAGCAGGGAAGAAAACAGACGGUACCUGACUAAGAAGCCCCGGCUAACUACGUGCCAGCAGCCGCGGUAAUACGUAGGGAGCAAGCGUUAUCCGGAUUUACUGGGUGUAAAGGGCGCGUAGGCGGGAUGGCAAGUCAGAUGUGAAAUCCAGGGGCUCAACCCCUGAACUGCAUUUGAAACUGUCGUUCUUGAGUACUGGAGAGGUUGACGGAAUUCCUAGUGUAGCGGUGAAAUGCGUAGAUAUUAGGAGGAACACCAGUGGCGAAGGCGGUCAACUGGACAGCAACUGACGCUGAGUCGUGAAAGCGUGGGGAGCAAACAGGAUUAGAUACCCCUGUAC